AAAAUACAAAGACUACACUACGACAGUACAACUACUUAGAUCCAAGCAUUAUAAAAAUAUGCAAGCAAUACCAAAAUGUUGAACAUAUUAGGUAUUUAUAUAGGACAUAUAUAUUUAUAUAUUUCAGAAAAAACGGGCAUGGCCGAGGCGUGCCGUGCGCCAGGCACGGCCCGUUUAGCCCGUGCCGUGUCUGGCCCAUGGCGGGCCGUGCCGGCGUGCUCGCGGCCCGGCCUGGUUGGCCCGGCCGGUUUGGCCAGCUUUGCAUCCGAGAGACCCGCGUUGAGAAUUUGCCCAAGGAAAUGAACUGAACUCUUUUUUUUUUCCCUCUUGGCCUCUCCCUUCCUCGUAGCUCCUCCGUGCUCCCCUGGCGGCGGCGCACAACACCUGUUCGACUGAACGCCGCUCCGGGGCGGGAAGUUUCGACCAUGCGAGCGGGGAGGACCACAUCAGCGCCCUCCCGGAGGACAUCCUCCACCAGGUGCUCCGCCUCCUGCCGGCUCAUGAGGUGGUGCGGACGUGCUUGCUCGCCCGGCGCUGGCGCGGCGUCUGGAGGUCCGCGCCCACCCUCUGCUUCACCGGGGCCAAGGGGUGGGGCAGCGCCGACAGGUUCGCCCAGUUCGUGGACCACUUGCUCCACCUCAGGUGCGGGGGCGACGGCCCGCCUCUGGAUUCCUGCCAUUUCGACUUCGAUUACGACGGAUCCAUGCUGUUGCUCGCAAACAAGCGGCGUGCCAGCAUCUGGCUCUCGAAGGCUCUGCCUCGUGUCCGGGCGCUGGGCCUUUGUAUCUUCGACGAGCUGGAAACCUGGACACGACUAUCUGAUAAGCAUCUCUUCUCCCAGCACCUCACUAGAUUAGAGCUUGCUGGAGUCAGUGUCAGCAACUGAGUAUGGAUUAUUGCGAUGUUUUUGUGAGACAGCUGGUGUCUCCAUCCUUGAAACAUCUGCGCGUUACCCGCUGCUAUACUUCUCGCGAUUACCGCAUUCUUAUUUCUCUACCAAAUCUUGUUUCGCUCGAGUUCAUCCAGUGGGGCGAAGGAAGGGCUCCAUUGCUUGGAAACUUGCCGCAGUUAGCAAGAGCUGAUAUUUUUCUUAACGGGGAUUGUGCUGAUCAAUGCUCUGAGGGUCGGUUUGAUGGUUGUGAUGCUGAUGACAGUGAUACCUGUUAUGGUUGUUAUUAUUAUUAUGGGGAUCCUGUAUAUGGGCCUCAUUAUGACCGCAACAACUGCGUCGUUCUCAAAGGUUUGUCAGAAGCCACAGACUUGGAGUUGACAGCUUAUCAUGAUCUGACUGUUUUGAACAGGGAUUUGAAGUAGUGCCCUACAUUUACCAAGUUAAAGACUUUGCUACUCAAUGAUUGGUGUUUGGCUGCUGACCACAAUGCACUAAUUUGUUUUCUCCAACACGCACCAAUUUUGGAGAAGCUUACCAUUCAACUUCCUGAGAAACCUUCAUAUGUAACUGGAGCAGAAGGAAUAUACAAACCAUUGGGACAUUCAGUUGCAUCCAACUGUCUUGAGAUUGUUGAAAUCAAAUGUGCAAAUGUCGAUAACAGGGUUCACGAAAUUCUGAAGAUUUUGACUACGUAUGGCAUACACCUUGAGCAAAUUAGUGUCUAACAGACUUGCAAAAUUCCUCGAUCUGGAUGUUUCAAUUUUGUUUGCACUGGUUUCUGCUAAAACUGUAGGCACAAAUGACGUCGUCGUAUCGGCCUAUGGCAAGAAGUUCGCUACGUUCUCAAGGCGGCCAGCUCCACCGGAGGAGAGCCACUCCACUGCAUUCAACGAGCUGCUCAUCAUCGUUCACGAGACCCUUGUUGCUGCUCACCAUCGUCCCAAAGCCUAUUCCUUUUGUACUCCAUAUUACUAGAUCAUAGCAGUGUUGUAUCUCUGCCAAACAAUUUCCCGUGGCUGAUGAACUUAGUUGAGAGUUAUCGUUAUUAAAAUCUAGUUGAGAGUUA